CCACAUUUAAUUACUAUUGGAAAUUAAAAAAAAAGAAAAGAAAAAAAGGAAGGUAAAAACUAAAAAACGGAGCAUUUCAAAGACCCUUUCGGCAUGACUUUGAAGACCCCAUCGAAGGAAGAAGGACUUCGUUGCAACCUCAUUUCGCAGACCCUUUCGGCAUGACUUUGAAGACCUCUGUAUGUCGCCGCCAAAUAGGUAAAGAUGUUGUGAUCCCGCCGAAGUAAGGGCGUGGAGGAACUGUUUUGGAGCACGGGGCUUGCUCCUUUUGUUGCCUUAUUUUGACAAGCCAAGGGCUAUACAUUUGUGGGUUUGAUAACUAUUAUAUGUAAGCGGGCAUAAGCCUUGGAAUUUGUAGCCUGUGGGGCAUUAUUUUGCCCUUAGCUUACUUAUUUACACUACAUGCUAAAGACUCAUGUUCCAGGAAGUGUUGAAUGUAUAAUUGCAUGUGGGGUGUUUUAUAAAUCUCUUGGGUAUAUUAUGAAUACAAUCAAUGAGAUUGAUGAUUAUAUUGAUGAUAGAAAUCAUAUAUCUUA